rnacentral:rRNA from 1 species
GUGUCAGCCGCCGCGGUAAGACAGAGGGUGCAAACGUUGUUCGGAAUUACUGGGCGUAAAGCGCGUGUAGGCGGCUCGGAAAGUCGGGUGUGAAAGCCCUGGGCUCAACCCAGGAAGUGCACUCGAAACUUCCAAGCUUGAGUUUUGGAGAGGAAGGCGGAAUUCUCGGUGUAGAGGUGAAAUUCGUAGAUAUCGAGAGGAACACCGGUGGCGAAGGCGGCCUUCUGGACAGUGACUGACGCUGAGACGCGAAAGCGUGGGGAGCAAACAGGAUUAGAUACCCUCGUAGUCC